CCAUUUCUUUUCCCAAUUAGAUGUUCGACGAAGUUCAAUAUUCAUUUUUUCUAUGACCCUCUCAUACUUAUAUUUUCCUGUUACAGGGGUUGACGAGACGACAUGGAUAACAUCAUCUGCAAACUGCGUUAUAAUUGUAUCAUUGAACUCCGGUUAAGGAAGAUCAUUCACAUAAAUAUUGAAUAGAAUUGGACUAAGACAAGAACCUUGUGGGACACCAGCUGUGGUAUAAAAGGCUCUGUCGACCUGCCGUGAAAGCCUGACACCUCAGUUCCCUGGUGCAGAGAAUGGUAUGCAUGAUGCUGCCAAUUUUUUAAUGAAAUUCUCAAAAUGGUAGUCAUGAACAUCGAUUAAAAAAGUAAAAUCCAUCUUCUUUUACGAUAUGCCAUUGCUGAAAUUUUGCCACUGAUAAAAAGAGGUAUUCUAAAUUUAUCACAGAAACUAAUAUCACAUACUAUUCAAAGUUGAAGCCAGUUGAAGCUAACAAAUUAGUGCCCUCACAUUUUUAGUAACAAUCCAAACUUUCUUCUAAGAUAUGAAGGCAAUGAUGGUUUGCAACUAACCAUAAGAGGCCAACACCUUAGUUUGAUCGAUAAAAUUGGCAGAUUACAGCUACAUAGCCCAAAUCCAACACAAAUCUUCCUCUGUUUGAUAAAGCAGUUUAAAAUUUUAAGGCAAUCAGAAAGGGUCUUCUCAUAUUGCCUGGAGCACUAUCACAACUUAUUUAAUAUAACUGUCACUUAUACAGCCUGUAACAAUCCAAAUCUUCCUGUAAGAAAGAGAUACAGCAUUGCAAUUCAGUGCUGGUCAGCACCAUGCCAAACAUUGUUUACAAUUAGAUACACCAGUAUUUUUAACUUUAAAGCUGAUCAGAUGAGAUGCUUUAAAGUUAUUGCACAGAAACUACGAGGGCAAAAAAUACCUGAUACAGGAGUCCCUUUUGAGGGAUACCAGUAAUAGUAAUGUGUAAUAUGGAAUUUUGAAAAAAAAGUUAUACUUGUGUAUGAUUUUGUUCAUAUUAAAAAACUUUUGAAUUUAUUUUAUUUUAUUCAUAUAUGCAUACUGAAUAUGGAAAUAAGCAAGUGAAAAAUGGGUAUGAUGAAAAGCAAUGCUGUCAUUUUAGAAAAUAACAUUUAUUUCAUCAAAAUAAUCUACACAAUGAUAUUCACCCAACUAGCCAUGGUAUUGAGUGGCUGAGGCUGCACAUGCGGGAACCUGAAUCAAUGAUCUCAGCGAGGCUAACAUUAUAUACAUCAUUCACAAACAAAUCUGCCCAAGAAAUCACUCGAGGAAAUACUCAUAAAAAUAAAUUAUUAAACAUAUGACUGAUUUACAGCACAAGACAAAUUCACAGUGCCACAAGGACACAAAUUAUUAUUAUAGUAUUAUACAAUGCAAAGGUGAUUUAAGUUGUAAGAAUUAGCGAAGGUGUAAAAUUGCCAUCAUAGUUGAUGCAACAGAUCUGCUUUUGUUAAAAUUCAUAGAGGCAGUCUGCACUGAAGGUAGGACUUUCAUUAACAUCAGUCAGAGUGUGUCAAGAUGGAAAUAAAUGGUAUAAAAUACCGACACAAUGGAAAUAUAAACACACAUGCAGUAUAAUGUGUUCCUUUAUUGACAACGUUUUGCCCACACAGUGGGCUUUUUCAAGCCACAAACAGAUCUGUUUGUGACUUGAAAAAGCCCACUGUGUGGGCGAAACGUUGUCAAUAAAGGAUCACAUUAUACUGCAUAUGUGUUUAUAUUUCCAAGUGUGUCAAGGCAAUGAUGUGUCAAAUGUGAGUUCUGCAUUUUUGCUCUGAUAUAUCAAGACAGUCUAUUUAUAUAUGGUAAAUUAUUAGUUACAUGACAGUCCUUGCAGAGUCAUUGAGCAUCUUUCCAUAUUCUGCGAGUGUGAAUCACGUGUAGCUGAUUCGUAAAUGUGUGAAUGCAGUUUUCCACAUCCAUCACCCCAAUGCUGUUGUUAAAAGUUUUGGAAUCUCUGGGAAAUACUGCAUGUACUGGAAAUUUAUACAAAAAAGGGAUUUUCCUGUGUGAGAGUAGCAGAAAACGAAUAGCAAACUGAGUGGUUUGGUGUGCAUGUUCAUUGCUAUGAACAUCAAUGUGUCCAGGGACCCAGCAAUAAAAAGAUUAUUUUUGCCUGCAAGAAAUUUAACAUAACCAUUAUUGUGUACUAAGUAUGAUGGGGUGUGGGGAGUCACAUCUCUGGAUAGCUUAUAAUGUACUUUUGGAGUCUGAAACAACAAUGAAUGAGGAAACAUAUAUGACUGCAUAGGAGUUUCCUGUGAAAAUACUGGCUAACUCAAGUAAAUCUCCAUACCCAAUUCCAUUUGAAGAUUUGGAACAAUCUGUGUACACUACCAUAACAUGAGAACAAGACCGAAAGUGUUUAAGAAAGAGCACAGAUUUGUAGCAGGUAUGUUGGUCAUCAAGCACUGAAGGGGUUGUAAAGAUAAAUCACUGGAAGUUUCCAAGUAGGAAUGGAAGAGUAUGAUAUGGGGUAAACAUAAAGGAGAAAAAAAUUGAGAGCUAUUACUGGAGUUUGAAUGCAGAUAUUAAAGGACCAUAAUAAAUAGAGCUUAUGAUUAAAUAAGUUAAUCUUACUAACACUUGUAAUUAUUUUGCAUGUACGAGGAUCAUGAAUGUUAUGGAAGUAAAAAAAAAAAUAACAAAUGUAAUGGGUAUUCCUGUGAUCCUACAGAGAAAAGAUGGUUUACAUUUGUAUACAAACUCUUGAGUAGAGAUCAGAAGGCUGCUUGACAAAUUUUAUCCUUGAUGAGGAACCUUGCCAAGUUUAAGAAUUCCAAGAGAGCCCGAGGAAUGCAUUUUAUCCCUGUAAUUUAGCUCAGACAGUAUUAGAACUGCAAGAAUUCUGAGAAAGUUUGCUAAUCAACUCUCCAAUAAAAAUUAGCUAAAGUUUUCAGUAGGUUCUGCUGAGUAAGACAGUUGGUUUUUAACAAGAUGCAGAUACACUACUAUAACAUUCAACAAACAAAGAGGUCUAGAAAUUUAACCAUAACACAUACUGGGAAAAGGGAGCCAUGCAGAUACAUAACAUAGGCUGUGGAUAAGGUGUCUGGUGAAGGUUAUCAAAUCUGUUUUGGCAACAGAAAACAAACCACAUAAUCUAUAUUAAGCUGGAGAGUGGUUUGUACAGGUCAACACUCUAGGCCUGUAUAUGCAAUAGCAAAAUUAUCUACACAUAAGAAUGACCAGAUACCUACGGAACUGAGGUAAGCCCAUUAAUAGCUCUCAUUUAUAAGGUACAUGUACCAAGGAUGCAGUUUUGAGGUAACCUCCACCUUCGAGUGAAAAACAGGGGUGCCAUGGGCAUAAUAAGAGAAUAUUGUCAACAUCUGUAGUUCAAGACUUUUAAACCUGCUAACUGCAGAUAUCAGAAAUAUUAUUAGAAUGAGUAUAGAAGUUUUCAAGAGAAAACUGAAUCAUUAUUUCUGCCAAGUGCCAGAUCAAUCAGGCUACAAUAAAUAGGGAGCCAAUUAACUGGCCACCAACAAUAAAAGCCUGGUUACUAGGCAAUAACAGAAAAGCCUGUCCCCAGGCUGGAA